UACGAAGGGGGCUAGCGUUGCUCGGAAUCACUGGGCGUAAAGCGCACGUAGGCGGCUUUCUAAGUCAGGGGUGAAAUCCUGGAGCUCAACUCCAGAACUGCCUUUGAUACUGGAGAGCUUGAGUCCGGAAGAGGUGAGUGGAACUCCGAGUGUAGAGGUGAAAUUCGUAGAUAUUCGCAAGAACACCAGUGGCGAAGGCGGCCAACUGGUCCGGUACUGACGCUGAGGUGCGAAAGCGUGGGGAGCAAACAGG
rnacentral:rRNA from 1 species